GCUCAUCUGGGAGAUUAGCAUUGACCUCUCAUACUCAUCAUAAUUAUCAAUCUCUGUAAGAUUAAAGAUGGCAGAAUUCAAAUCUUCUUGUUUUGCCUCUCGAUAAACCUCAGCCAGAUCUUUUGCGGGCUUCUUCUUAGAGGGGCAGCAACAAGAGAAGCAUGAGGAGGAUGAGGAAUUCUUAGGUAAGCUAGGCAUAGAAGGAGGCCCAUAGCCAUAAAGUGCUUGCCUAUUGAAAACACAACCUGUUCCCACGUACACUGGUCCUUGAAUGCCAUCAAGUCCUUUCAUGUUAACGUCAAAGAAAACCACAUUUCUGUUGGCAUAUCGAUCACUCUUAUCUAUGCCAUCAAAUCUCUGAGGGAAUUGCACGAAGCAUACAUCUCGACCAAC
rnacentral:misc_RNA from 1 species